GACAAGCAACUAUUUCUGCAGAUGUGAAGAAAUCAACAUAAUACUAUAGGAAGUAUGAAAAAGAAAGAUAAUAGGACACCCCCAAAAGAACACAGUAAUUCUCCAACAAUAGGUCCUUAAAAGAAGUCCUCAAAAUGUCAAAUAAUACAAAUUUUUAAUUUUAAAAACAACUCCUGGAAAUGAAAUAUUCAUUGAAGGAAUUACAAAAUGCAUUUGAAAGCUUUAACAAUGAUUUAGACCAGGAAUUUCCAACAGUGAUCUAGAACAGGGGUACUGGUCCAUGAUCUGUUAGGAACCAGAACACACAGCAGGAGCUGGGCAUCAGGUGAGUGAUUGAAGCUUCAUCUGUAUUUACAGUAGCUCCCCAUUGCUAGCUUUACUGCCUGACCUCUACCUCCUCUCAGAUCAGCAGUGGCAUUAGAUUCUCAUAGGAGUUCAAAGCCUGUUGUGAACUGUGCAUGCAAGGCAUCUAGGUUGCAUGCUCCUCAUGAGAAUCUAAUGCGCCUAAUGAUCUUUCACUGUCUGCCAUCUAUUUGCAGGACAACAAGUUCAGGGCUUUCACUGAUUCUACAUUAUGGUAAGUUAUAUAAUACUAUAUAUUACAAUUUAAUAGUAAUAGAAAUAAAGUGCACAAUAAAUGUAAUACACUUGAAUCAUCCUGAAACCAUCCCCUACCCGCCAGUCUGUGGAAAAAUUGUUUUCCACAAAAUCAGUCCUGAGUGCCUAAAAGAUCGGGGGCCACUGAUCUAGAUCAGGCAGAAGAAAAAAAUCUCAAUAACAAGUGUUUUGGAUGAAUCUGGUCACACAGAAAUACAGAAAAGAAAGGCUUUAAAAGAACAAACAAAGCUUCCAAGAUAAAGCAACUAAGCUUUGAAUCAUUGGUGUUCCAGAGGAAGAAGAAAAAAGCAAGUUUAGAAAACUUAUUUAAGGAAAUAAUUGAUGAAAAAAACUUCCCUAGUCUAGCAAGACAUCAAGUCAUUCAGAUACAAGAGGCACAAAGAUUAACAGGCAAAUACAUUGCAAAAGGACUUCACCAUGACCUAUAGUCAUCAGAUUACUUAAAGUCAAUGUGAAGGAAAAAAAAUCUAAAAUCAACAAGAGAAAAGCACCUAGUCAUCUAUAAAGGAAGCUCCAUCAGACAAACAGCAGACCUUCUCAGCAGAAGCCUUGCAAGCCAGAAGAGAAUGGGAUGCUAUUUUCAGAGUGCUCAAAGGAGAAAAUUUUUCAUCCAGCUAGAAUAAACUUCAUUAGUGAAGGAGAAAUCAGAUCUUUCUCAGACAAGCAAACACUGAGAAAAUUCUUCACCACUGGACUAAUAACUACAGGAAAUGCUCAAAGGAGUCCUAAAUAUGGAAAUAGAAGAUUGAUAUUCACCAUUAUAAAAACACAUGAAAGUAUAAAAUUCACAGGCUUCAUAAAACAAUUACACAAAGGAAGAAGAGAAAGGCAUCAAAUGGCACCAUGACAAAACUCCAUGAAACCACAAAGGAAAAACAAUUUACAAAACAGCUAGAUAAUAAAUUUCAGGAACAGAAUGUCACUUAUCAGUGUUAACCUUGAACCUAAAUGGAUUAAAUGUUCCACUUAAAAGAUAAAACCUGGCUGAAUGGAUUUUUUUAAAUGACACAACUAUAUGUCAUUUUAAGAAAUGACAGACUGAAACUAUCCUUGUGCUAGUCCAUGGAAUUAUCUUCUUAACAAGAGCAAUAAUUACCUUUCUAGACACAUAGACUGAAAGUGAAGGGAUAAAAAAAGAUAUGCUACAUAACCAGAAAGCAAAAGCAAGUAGAAAUAGCUAUUCUUACAUCAGAUAAAACAGACAUUAUGUAAAAAAUAGAAAAGACAAUGUAAAUAGAUAAUAGUAAGGUAUCAAUUCUGCAAGAGGAUAUUACAAUUCAAAAUAUUUAUACACCCAAUACCAGAGUACUCACAAAUAAACAAAGCUAAUAUUAGCCCUCAAGGGGUAGAUAUACUCUAAUACAAUAAUGGUUGGGGAAUUCAGUAUCCUGCUAAUAUGGUUUGACUGUCCCCACCCAAAUCUCAUCUUGAUUUAUAGUUCCCAUGAUCCCUGUGUGUUAUGUGAGGGACCUGGGGGGGGGGGGUAAUUGAAUCAUGGGGGUGGUUAACUCCAUGUUGUUCUCGUGAUAGAGAGUGAGUUCUUACAAGACCUGAUGGGAUGGUUUUAUAAGCAUCUGGCAUUUCCCCUGCUGGCACUCCUGCUGCCUUGUAAAUAGGUGCCUUCUGCCUUCAUUGUAAGUUUCCUGAGGCCUCCUUAGCCAUGUGGAACUGAGUUGUUUAAACCUCUUCUUUAUAAAUUACCCAGUCAGGGGUAUUUCUUCAUGGCAGCAUAAAAACAGACUAAUACACCCACUGUCAGCAUUGGACAGAUCAUCUAGACAGAAAUUAACAGAAUACUUUGGAUUUGAACUGUACUGUACACCAAAUGGACCUAACAGACAUAUACAGAACACUGUAUCAAAUUGCUGCAGAAUACACAUUUUCCACAUCAGCAUAUGGAACAUUCUUUAGAAACACUACAUAUUAGACCACAAAACAAGUCUCAACAAAUUUUUAAAAAUGGAAAUUAUUUCAUGCAUCUUCUGAGAACACAGUGGAAUAAAACUCAAUAACAAGAGAAACUUUUUAUUUACAUGGAAACUAAACAAAAUGAUCCCUAACUACCAUAAGGUCAGUGAAGUAUUAGAAAGGUAUUUCCUAAGUUUUUGAAAUAAAUGAAAAUGGAAAUAAAACAUACCAAAACCUACAUGAUACAGCAAAAGCAAUGCUAAGAGGAAAGUGUUUAUAGCAAUGAAUUCCUAAAUCAAACAAUUAGAAAUAUUUCAAAUGAAGAGCCUGGUUAUAUACUUCAAGGAACUGGAAAAGCAAUAAUGAAGCAAAGCCACAAUUGGUAGAAUGAAAGAACUAAUAAAGAUUAUCAUGCAACUAAAUGAAAUAGAAACUAAAAACAGAAUACAAAGAAUCAACAAAAGGAAAAGUUGUUUUUUUUCAAUAGAUAAACAGCUAAAAGACCAACCACGAAAAAAGAAGCCCCUAAUAAAAUCAGAAAUGAAAAAGGAGACAUAACAACUGAAACCAACAAAGUACAAAGGAUCAUCAGAGACUUGUGAAGAACUAUACACAAACACACUGGAAAACCUAAAGAAAAUGGAUAAAUCCCUAGCCAUGUACAACCUACCAACAUUGAACAUAGAAGAAAUAGAAAACAUGAACAGAGCAAAAAAUAGUAAUUACGGUGAAUCUAGUAAUAAAGUCUUCUGUCAAAGAAAAAUGCAGGACCGAAUGGCUUUACUGCUGAAUUCUAUCAAAUUUAUAAAGGAGAAUUAACAUCAGUUCUUCUGAAACUAUUUCAAAAAAUGAAGGAAGAGAGAAAUUCUUUCUUACUCAUUCUAUUGGACCC